rnacentral:rRNA from 1 species
UACGUAGGUGACAAGCGUUGUCCGGAUUUACUGGGCGUAAAGGGCUCGUAGGCGGCCAACUAAGUCAUACGUGAAAUCCCUCAGCUUAACUGGGGAACUGCGUGUGAUACUGGAUGGCUUGGAUUUGGGAGAGGGAUGCGGAAUUCCAGGUGUAGCGGUGAAAUGCGUAGAUAUCUGGAGGAACACCGGUGGCGAAGGCGGCAUCCUGGACCAAUAUUGACGCUGAGGAGCGAAAGCUAGGGGAGCAAACGGG